rnacentral:rRNA from 1 species
CCUACGGGAGGCUGCAGUGGGGGAUAUUGCACAAUGGGGGGAACCCUGAUGCAGCGACGCCGCGUGGGUGAAGGAGUGCUUCGGCAUGUAAAGCCCUAUCGGCAGGGAAGAAGCAAGACGGUACCUGACUAAGAAGCCCCGGCUAACUACGUGCCAGCAGCCGCGGUAAUACGUAGGGGGCGAGCGUUAUCCGGAUUCACUGGGUGUAAAGGGAGCGUAGACUGCCAUGCAAGCCAGGGGUAAAAUCGCGGGGCUCAACCUCGCUCCGCCGUUGAAACUGGCGUUCUUGAGUGGGCGAGAAGUAUGCGGAAUGCGUGGUGUAGCGGUGAAAUGCAUAGAUAUCACGCAGAACUCCGAUUGCGAAGGCAGCAUACCGGCGCCCAACUGACGCUGAAGCACGAAAGCGUGGGUAUCGAACAGGAUUAGAUACCCCUGUAGUC